rnacentral:rRNA from 1 species
AUACGGAGGGAGCGAGCGUUAAUCGGAAUUACUGGGCGUAAAGCGCGCGUAGGCGGCUUUGUAAGUCGGAUGUGAAAGCCCUGGGCUCAACCUGGGAAUGGCAUUCGAAACUGCAUGGCUUGAGUAUGGUAGAGGGAAGUGGAAUUUCCGGUGUAGCGGUGAAAUGCGUAGAUAUCGGAAGGAACACCAGUGGCGAAGGCGACUUCCUGGGCCAAUACUGACGCUCAGGUGCGAAAGCGUGGGGAGCAAACAGGAUUAGAAACCCCAGUAGUCC